UGACUCGGUCUCAUUCACACAGCCAAUCAAAUUAGAAGCUCUGGUACCUACCCUUUCCGUUUCGACUGAAUUACUGUUGUGUUUUCUGAUUUGCUGUUGUGUUUUCUAACUUGUUUUGUUUCUGGAUUUGGUGUUAUGUUUUCUGAUUUGCUCUUUUGUUUUAUGAUUUGUUGAUGUGUUUCUGAAUUAUUAUUUUGUCUUUGGAUUUGUUGUUUUGUUUUGCACUUCACGGCCACCGUACUGUACUCAGGAAAUGACAACGGCUGUGUCUCGUUUGAAAGGCUGCAUGCUAGGUAGGACGCGUCCUUUGAAGACUGCAGUAUACCGAGCGUACUCCUUUAAAACAAGUCUCGUUAAACGAGGCGGCCUUUGUAGGACAAACGGAAACGGAACGUAACAUGGUUGCUAUGACAGCACGCCACACUUUAACAAGCGGGAGCGCUUUGCGUGAGAAAGGAACAAAGUCCCUUUAGAAGGGAAUGUAUGAGACAUUGUGGGUUGUGAGUGCCCAUGAAGGAUACACCUCAUUCACCCUCCGAAUUCCCGUGAAAGAAGGUCGCAUUCGAAGGCUGCAUUCGAAGUGUCCUACUCGCUUUUCUGAAACGAGACAGUCUCGAUGACGUAUGCGGCCGAGAAAUUAACCGGACGCCUUGAAACCCGCAUGAAAAUUCAGAAAUUACAACAGGAAUAUUUAUUGUGUUCUAUGAAUGGAAGUAAACCGAGGCUGUCAGUAGAUUAAACAUAAAUUGUGAUUAAUUUUACUCUUUGUCGUUAAUAAGACUAAUCUACCAUGAUCGAAUGUUGAAUUUUGCCUUUAAAUCCAGUGUUUUUAUUUAAAAUCAGUUCUGUUACAUUACUUUUCUUUGUAGUAAUAUACAAUGACAUAAUAUUGAUGCCAAAGGUCAAUAAAUGAAGUUUUACUGAAUAUAGACA